rnacentral:rRNA from 1 species
GAUGAACGCUAGCGGCAGGCCUAAUACAUGCAAGUCGAACGGUAGAUCGGGUAGCAAUACUUGAUUGAGAGUGACGUAAGGGUGCGUAACACGUAUGCAAUCUACCCUCAACAGGAGUAUAGCUCGGGGAAACUCGGAUUAACACUCCAUAACAUUACGAUGUGGCAUCACAUUGUGAUUAAAACUCCGGUGGUUGAGGAUGAGCAUGCGUCUGAUUAGUUAGUUGGAGGUGUAACGGACCCCCAAGACGAUGAUCAGUAGGGGAACGUNAGAGGUUGAUCCCCCACCACUGGCACUGAGAUACGGGCCGAGACUCCUACGGGAGGGCAGCAGUAGGGAAGUAUUGGUCAAUGGGUGAGAGCCUGAACCAGCCAUGCCGCGUGCAGGAA